UGGGGACGGAAGCACCUCCCCAGGCCUGGCUGUGCGUGGGAAUGGCUGGGGAGCUGGGAGGCAGUCCCAAGAGUGGACCCACGCCCGGGGUUCUGAGCUCAUCUGGAGGUUCUUGAACCUCUCCCCAGGGGAGGCUAGGGUGUGCCGGGCAGGAGAGCCACACUUUAACCUCACCGGAGCUCAGCCUGGGCAGGGGUAAGUCCUGCCCCUCCACCAGGAGCCCGGGCACCACCUUCCCACCUGCCUCUCCGCCUCCUCCUCCUGGCCCCUGCUACUUACUUCAUACCCCAAUCUCUGGUCGCACCAAGUCCCCUUUGUUUCCCAGAGGUGCUUGGUCCCCAGCCAUCAAGGUCGCCAGCCGUCAAGGUCAGCUGCACCUUUGCCAGCUCCUCCUUGCCCUCCCUGGGCAGCUGCUGGGCAGAGUCCCCCUCCACCUGCACACACACACACACACACACCCCUGUAACACCCUGCGGACCCAAGGAGCAGGCUUGCAAGAGCCCCUCCUUAGCGUCUCCUCCCAACUUGGCCGUCGCGACAUCAGCUUGCAACUGGUCAAGGUAGGGGCAUUUAGAACAGGGUGCCAGGGCGCCAGGCAAACAUACGGGAGGGAACUUUCUCCCCAGAAAUCCAGCUGUUAUCAGUUGGCCGGGUCUCCCCUCCCUCUCCUGUCCACUCUCCCCUCCCAGGAAACUGGUCCUCAAGAGCCCAUCUCAGUGGCCAAAGCCUGGUGGCCAUCUCUGGACAGGAGAGCCACACGGUGUCAUGGAAGAGGGUGUAGGUGUGGGGAGCAGGGCCUUUCCGUCAGUUGACGUCAGAGCACCUCUGGGGCCCAGGUGGCCGGCUGGCAUGGCUUGUGGCCCCUAGGCAGCUCCCUGCACACCCUUGUCGGGCAGGCUGCCUGGGAGGUGCUGGGUGUCAGUAGGUCCCUGGGGAAGGGACAGCCAGCUGGCACCGUGUCGGGACAUGGGAGUGGCUGUGGUGGUGGCUGCAGUGUGGGGGGAGGACGUUUCCGCAGUGUUGGUCCCAGGAGUGGAAGCUACUCAGGGUUGAAGGUAGUGUUGGGCCCAGGAGGCCUGUGCUGGUGGCCUGGGAGCCUAAGGGGUGGGCACAGUGUUGGGGAAGCAGGCCCCUUGCAGGGUCUCACUCUUGGAGGCCUCUUCUUGUGUCCCCUGGAGCCGCUCUGUGCGCCCCCCUGACACACACACACAGGGAAAUGGUUCCACUGGGCAGAGUGUGGGGACAUCGCAUUGCCUUCCUGGGGAACGCUGGGCUCCGAGGAGCUCACGGGCUCUGUGGUUGGCACCGGCUCCUCCGCGGACACCAGCUGCCUAGACGGGCCCCUUCCCAAAGAGACCGUCACACGGACAGCUGGUCAGUCAGCAGGAUGAGACAUUCCAGUGUGAAACUGGCCAGUGGACAUGAAGACGUGAAGCUGGUUUCCCCUCGUGGUCUGGAGACUUCCUGGCUUUGAAGCAGCAGCGUCCACUGGGUCACUGGGGAGCUUCAGGGCCUGGUGUGUCUGGCUAGAGGUGCCUGAUGGAGGCAGGGAGGCCUGGGGGGUGUGAGGGCCAGGAGGGGCAGGAGCUGGGGCCUCGGGCAGGCGGCAGGACGAGGACGGAGCCUGGGGUGGCAUUCGGGACGGUGGAGGGAGCAGCCAGGCCCAGGGCGCCCCGUCCUGUGUGCCUGGACCGUGUGACAAGGCUGUGAGCCUUACUGCUCCCAGGACCCUGAUGGGAGGACGGUCUAAAGUAGGACUUGGGUGGCCCGCGCGGCCCGUCCUUCCUGUCACACAGGCUCCGCGGCGGCCGGCCAGGAGAUAUUUAUACUCCGCUCUCGGGGGACCAGGUGCUCUUGUUCUGCUCUUUCUCCCCACAUUCUGAGGUUGACUGGGUGACUGGCCGAUUCUUCCUGGUAGAGACGAACAGGGUUUCCGUCGGUCAGCGAAGCAGCCCUCAGGUUGGGGUCCCUUGCCCUGGAGAGCAGCCUUGGAUUUCUCUCCCCAGAGCUCUUGUCACCGUGUUCUUCUGAGCCUGGGAACGCUCAGGUCCUCAAGUGCUUCUGGAACCGUCCACCACCAGUGGCCCCUUGCUGAUGAGUAUCUGUGUCCACUCUCUUUGUACAGGGACAGUUUUUUGAAAACUGAUCUUGACCCUUUUUCCUAAUAAGAGCCGCCUGCUGGAGACUCAGGGCAGACAGGGCCUCACGGUGCAAGUGGCACUUCAGCCACCAAGGGUGACCCUGGGGCUCAGCUUGGAGUUGGUGCAGUGCACCCAGGGGUCAGAUCCCAUGGUUCCCAAACAGACCAUUCUGAACCGAGUGGCAGAAAGUGACCACUUGAGAUGGAUUGAGAAGAAAAAGUGGCCCAGGUGCUGUUGGCCAGGACUUCCGCGGGGCCUGCGAGGGCCUCAGCUGGGCGACCCAAAGCUGGGCGACUUGACCAUGGGGCAACCACAUGUACUGCACUCUCGGGCUGGGCCUGCUGGCAGGACGGCCACCAGGCUGGGUCCAGCAGGACGGUGGGCCAUGGGCCUCCCUGUGGCUCCCCUGUGGCGCCUCAGUGCUCUAGAGCCUGGUAGGGCUGCACGGCCCUUUGCCAGCCAGCUGAGAAGUCGCAUGUGCCAAGCACGCUCAUGCCCACACCCGGAGCAAGGGGCCCAGGCCUUGAGGAGCCGCGUGGGACCUGAGGUCACCCGAGAGCCGCUCCUGCUCCACAAUUCCCAGCCCCAUGGUCACUGCUGAUGGCUCACAAGGACCUGUGUCUCGUAGCAAGCCCCAAGGCUUUCCUUAAAAAAUAUUAACAGUGUCCACUGGACACGUUGGUGUGAGCCUCCAUACACAUCACGGCAAGCACCGAGCAGGCCCAGCCCCGCCGACCUCCAGCCUCACACAAGGACGCGAGGCCUCAGCCCUUUGGAGCCCCAGGCGCUGCCAAAAGGCAAGAGAGGCAGACCCCAAGUCACGCAGCUCCCGUUCCCGGGCGCUCCGGGGCUCGCGGCCUGACAUCUUCUUUUGGUUCUUCCCGUCUCAGGAUUCCACGCGACCAUGACGGAGAAGAAGCCAAGGAGGCCAAGGAGAACGGGGGCCUGAGGCCGCGCCUGGUGGUCUCCUCCCCACCGAAGGGCGAGACGCGGGCCCUCUUCUGGGUUUGCGUUGACACCUCUCUCCUUUCAAUCCAAAGCUCAAGUGCUGCCUGGAAAUGGAGUCUGCAGCCCCCCUGGGUGGACCUCCAUUCUUCUGGCUCUUUGGGGGUAAGUUUUUCAGAGUCUCUGGAACUGUUUCCUCGUCUGUAAAAUGGGACUGAUACUAGUUUUUUUGGGGGGGAUGGUGGUACCAGGGAUUGAACUCAGGGGCCCUUGAACACCGAGCCUCACCCCAGCCCUACUUUGUAUUUUAUUCAGAGACAGGGCCUCACUGAGUUCCUUAGCACCUCAAAGUUACCGAGGCUGGCUUUGAACUCCCCAUCCUCCAGUCUCAGCCUCCCGAGCCCCCGGGAUCACAGGCCUGAGCUGCUGUGCGCUGGCAGGUCUGAUAAUAGUUUAUUAUCUCUACCUCCAGGAGCUGAUAGGGGUCUGAUAGGAUUCUGUACGCUGACACCGCAGGGCGUGGCGUGAGCUGGGAGGGCUGGAUUAGUCUCACUGGGCUUGCUAAGAACUUCACAAGGAGAUAAAUGGUUCUUAAUUGUUUCUGAUAUCCUGCCACAGCAUCCUGGGUGAGCAGGAGAGUGUGUGUGUGUGUGUGCACCCACGUAUCCCAUGUGCACACGCGUGUGCGCUCCACCAGAAGCAGAGCCCGGUGUCCUUGCUGAGACUCUGGUACUCUCUGUCCUGCCCUUCGAUGCUCUUGCUGCGCCUCAGCCGUGGUGAAGAUUGAGAGAAUCUAGGACAGUGAAUUUCCUCAGAGGGACGAGAAGGUCACAAGGAAAGUCUGCUGCCCUCCACAUCCUCAGUGUUCUAGAACAGGACUGAGGCGAGUUUGAGAAGCUAAAAGCAAUUGGAUAAUUGACCUGUUUGUUUUUUUUUUUUUAAUAAACGCAG
rnacentral:lncRNA from 1 species